CUGCCUUAGGGGAGAUUGUCUUAUCUGGCUACGCCACCGCAAGGGAGGAGGGAGGGUGAUGACGAUGGUCUUCAAUCUUCCUCUGUCCGGUGGCACCGCUACUUCAUCUUUGAUCAAUUUCGGUUUAGAAGCCAGCUCAGAGUCAGGCUCAAUCACAGAUUGGAUUUGAACUUUAUGGUAUACUGGUUGGAAAUGUUAGUCCCUUGACAGGAGAGACUAUGAGGCCAGCUUAUGUAGCAGGUGAAGAGGCUUUUUCAAGGGAAGUCAUUGCACCUGUCUAUGAAGUGAUUGCAAGGGAGGCUACAAAGAGCAAAAGAGGAAAAUUAAAGGAUUCACAGCAGAGGAAUUAUGAUGUCCUAAAUCAAUACUUCUGGUCUGCUGAUUGUUUUCGGUUAGGUUGGCCAAUGCGUCUGGAUGUCUUCCAUGUGUC